rnacentral:misc_RNA from 1 species
AACGCACAUUGCGCCCUCUGGUAUUCCGGAGGGCAUGCCUGUUCGAGCGUCAUUAUAACCAAUCACGCAAGUGGUAUUGGGGCUUGCUCAAUAGCAUCCCUUAAAGUUAGUGGCGGUGCCAUAGGGCUCUCAGCGUAGUACACAUUCCGCUUUUGAAACCUAGCCACACCUGUCAGAACCCCCAAACUUUCUAAGGUUGACCUCGGAUCAGGUAGGGAUACCCGCUGAACUUAA